ACAUGUGACUGUCUCAUAAUAUGCCCACAAGCAAGCUGCUGAAUCACACCUGCUUCCUUUAAUUCUGGUGUUUUCUCGUUUUGCAGGCUUUACUAUGCAAAUCUUUUUGAAGUACCACAUGCAUAUACAAUCCUAUACAUAUGGUUAUAUGUAAUUACACAGACCUUGAUGUUGAGCUUGGAAAGAUGCUGCAAGAUGCGUGCGCGUGGGAGAGGGGAGUGCAGCUGCCAUGGAGUUCAGCAGGAGCAGAGGACCCUGCCUUGAGUCAAAGGCAACCUCUUGGAGUUCCACGAAGGCACAGCUCGGUGCUGACCGAGCUUGGGUACUGCUACCAAAUACCAGCAUCUCUCCCAGCAGCUGUUGCUUCCAGGGGAUGAUCCGGCACAUUUUGCAGCUGGGGGAGGCAGCAGCUGGAUUUGCACUUAUGUUUAAGAUGGAUACAAGAGCCUGAAGUACCCAGAUUUCAGACAGCCUAUUCCCUGUUAGCCCCCUGACCCGCAGGAGUGGACAGCAGUGAAGAUGGAGUCUCUGCAAAAGAAUAUGUGAAAGAUUAAGUACAAGUGGAUUUGAUACUUCCAUGCCUUUGUACAUGAAAAGGGAUAAUACUAACAGCAGGUAUAUUUUCAUGAUCAGAGUAACCAGUGGCAAAGUUUUACAUGAAGGACAGUUAUUUGAUGACAUAAACCAAACCGAACUGCAGAAUGUACUAUACCUGAAUAUCCCAGAAAGAACUAGGCCCAGUGUUUCAGACAAUGGAGUAAAAGAAGAAUUUUAUACGUCUGACACAAAAUGUGCUGAUGGUUUUCAUUGCACAGCUGAGCGUGGAGGCUUCAUAAUGAAAGUGCUGGCUUAUCCUGACUUAUGAGGUACUUAAACUACACCUCUGCACAAUAUUUUAUUGUGUAAACUGAUUAAAAAUUUACUUUCCAUGAUAUUUUGUUUGUGGUACUUCUAAAAGAGUGAUCUGUAUAAUGUCUUUAGUUUAUUUCAACAGCAGCUGUACAGCACUGCAGUGGGUCAUCGUGCUCUCUAUUAUGCUGUCUUAGACAGCAAUAUUACCCUGUUCUUUUCAUAAAUAGAUCACAGACCCUCUGAAUAUUAAUCAGUCCUGCCCAGGAACUUCACUGCUGUAAAAGCUAGAGUCAUUCCUCUUAUGGUCAAUUGUCCCCAUCUGUUCUUGUCCCAAGGUGAUUUUUUUCUGAUUCCAAAAGUAUUUCUUCCUCCUGGUGACUCAGUCUCCUAAAUUAUUCAAAAAGAAUAAAUACAUGCCUUAACAGACUUUAUAGAGAAAAGUAAACAUUAUUAUUAUUAUUAUUAUUAUUAUUAUUUUAAGGCUUGUCAGCAAUUCUAUUUUAGGCCUGAGUUACAAGUGUCUAUUGAUAUGCCAAAGCUGAAUGUUUGAAGGUGGCUUGUGAGUCCAUGCAACUCAAGGAACAUCCCAAAACUAUUCAUUUCUUAAACAGAUAAUGCUGCUGUAAAUCAUUUUGGGGGAUGGCAGAAUUUGAAGCAAUUUAGCAAUUCUAAUUUAGCAUUCUGCAUGAUUUGAACCUUGUGAUAUGCAGUGACAUGGCUCUUGCAUGUGUUUUCAUCGCAUAGUUACCAUUUCUCUUUCUUUGACUGAAACAUAACUGACUAUAAAUGUGUUUGCAGUUCCUUUCAGCGUGCAGCGUGAUCUGCAGCUUGUACUUAUUACAGCUAAUGACAGCAUUUGGCAUGCUAUGGUUUGCAAAGCUGACCUCUAGAUUAGGGUAGAUGAGGUUCUGUCACAAAGAAAUUAUCAUUUACUUAGGCAGUCUGAGUCUUAUCACUGAGAUAGUACCUUUGUAGUAAUACAUUGUAUUAGUACGUUCUAAUAAAGCAAUUUAUAAGCAAGUCUGUUAUGAAGUCCUACCAAAGCAAACCAUAAUUACUGUGUCACAAUAGGCAGAUAAACAAUAGAAGCUAUCAACACCUGCCAUUACCUCCUCCUCUUUAGUGCAAUAAGACACUAAUGGUGCCACUGAGGGAGGUUUUCUGUACAAUAGCACUUUACCAGAGGUGCUCACAAACGAGUCUCCAAUCCAAUGCCUAUGUAGGCACCAGAAAGUUUUUCAUUUUUUGAAACACAGCUGUAUCUUCGUAUCUUCUUUAUAUAUGACCCUUGUGUCUCUCUAUAAUUGUAUGCCAGAUACAUAUCACUAAAAACUGUUUUCAGUGUUUUCAGUGUUGUACUUAUUUCCUUGGAAAACUGAAAAUAUAUCAUAUAAAAUAUAAAUAAAACUGUGUGUGUUGAGCUAACUUCUGCUAAUCAGAGAUAAAAAACAUAUUUUUUCUUGUUUCUCGAAUGAAGAAAUUGAAAUGAAAUAUCCAGGUAGAAACAGCAAGAUGGACAAAAAUUUCAUCCCAGAAGAAAGCCCUUUUCUUAUUACUACUAAUGUAGUUUUGUUUUGUUUUGUUUUGUUUUUCCUUUAAAAGCGUCAAAUAACUGGAUAUCAUUUUUAGUCAUACAUUGUGCUAUGUAAGGUAAAGAAUUACAGCUCUUAUUAGUAUGAAGUUAUCCAACCCUGUAUUAGACAAAUUAAAAUUGGCUCUGCAAGGUAAGAAAUAUUUUUUGAGUAUUGCUUAUGAAAAGCUCACAGCUUCUCUAUUUCUCUAUUUUGAAUCUCAUCAGAGCUGGUACAUUUUGCUCAUCUUCUUACGUUCGCUUGAUCUUACUAGUGAUAAUACACCAUCUAUGAUUUUUUACACUGAUGUUAUUAAGCUGUUAUUUACAUUGCUUAUCUAAAGGAAUUUCUGAAAUUAUACCAUUUGAUGUGUUGAAAUCUACUGACGGAUUUAGGAUUAAAUAAUAUCUCUAAUCUUGAAAAAAACAAUGCUAACGUAUGAAGAAAGUUAAUAGGAAAAGCUUCAUAUCUUAUUUUUCUAC
ensembl:lncRNA